GACGAACGCUGGCGGCGUGCUUAACACAUGCAAGUCGAACGGAAAGGCCCUGCUUUUGUGGGGUGCUCGAGUGGCGAACGGGUGAGUAACACGUGAGUAACCUGCCCUUGACUUUGGGAUAACUUCAGGAAACUGGGGCUAAUACCGGAUAGGAGCUCCUGCUGCAUGGUGGGGGUUGGAAAGUUUCGGCGGUUGGGGAUGGACUCGCGGCUUAUCAGCUUGUUGGUGGGGUAGUGGCUUACCAAGGCUUUGACGGGUAGCCGGCCUGAGAGGGUGACCGGCCACAUUGGGACUGAGAUACGGCCCAGACUCCUACGGGAGGCAGCAGGGGGGAAUAUUGCACAGUGGGCGGAAGCCUGAGGCAGCAACGCCGCGUGCGGGAUGACGGCCUUCGGGUUGUAAACCGCUUUCGCCUGUGACGAAGCGGGAGUGACGGUAAUGGGUAAAGAAGCACCGGCUAACUACGUG
rnacentral:rRNA from 1 species